rnacentral:misc_RNA from 1 species
AUGUUCAAAAAAGUUCCUCACUCAAAAUGAACGAGGAACUUGCCGAAAAUUCAUCAGUCACUGGCAACUCACAAAUUGGUUUAGUGACACCUCGAGACACAUGGGGCCGGAAAGAGAGUUCACCAACAGAUCGAUGGUAUCUUGUUUAUAUAAUUUUUACAAUGCACGGAAUGGGAAUGUUAAUGUCAUGGAAUAUGUUUAUUACAAUUGCUCCACAAUACUAUCACGAUUAUUGGUUUAACAAUACAAAUUAUCAAGACAGUUUUAUGUCAAUUAUUGGAGUGACGUCACAGAUUCCAAAUGUUGGAAUUAUGAUUUUAAAUACAAUUGUGGUCAUGGUAGGUUUCAUGAUGCUUCGAGUUGUGGUUCCUCUCAUUGUGAACUGCAUUUUGAUUGGGGUCAUUGUUAUUCUUGCCAUUUUUGUAACACCAUCUCCAGACAGUGUUACAUGGUUUUAUAUUGUUACUCUAAUCAUCAUAAUGGCUAUGAAUUUGGCCAAUGGAAUUUAUCAAAAUUCUGUAUACGGAAUCGUCGCCGAUUUUCCGGAUAACUACAUUAACUCUUUGGUUAUUGGAAACAAUUUGUGUGGAGUUUUUACUUCAGUAUUGAGUAUUCUAACAAUUCUUAUAUCGCCUAACGACAUUGAAUUGAAUGCCCUUUUAUACUUCAGUAUAUCAUUAGCAUUCAUGAUUGUUUGUUUGUUUUCUCUCUAUUUUCUGGUUCGAUUGCCAUUCUAUCAAUAUUACAUGGCAAAAGGAGUGGAGGCAAGAGCAGAGGAAAAAGUAGAUAAUCCGUCAAUCAGACAAUACUGGGAGUGCUUCAGAAUGUGUUGGGUCCAACUGUUCAACAAUUUCUACGUUUAUUUUGUUUCUCUUCUCAUCUUUCCUGCAAUGAUGACUGAUAGUGUGUACUCUGAUCCUACAAAUGGAAUAACUUCUGUUUUUGGAGAUAGUUUAUUCUUCCCGAUAACUACUUUCCUCAAUUUCAAUUUAUUUGCAUGGAUUGGAUCAUCUCUUGCCAAUUAUGUUCAAUUCCCAUCAGAGAAAUAUUUAUGGAUCGGAGUUGCUCUUCGAACCGUAUUCAUUCCAUUUUAUCUUUUCUGUAAUUAUCGUCCAGAUACUAGAAGAUGGCCUGUUUGGUUUAAGAAUGAAUGGUGGUUCACUAUUGGAUGUACCAUAAUGGCAUUUACUUGUGGUUAUAUGAGCAGUUUAGCGCUGAUUUAUACACCAAGCAAAGUGCCAGCUAGAUAUCAGAAGCUAAGUGGAAUGCUUGCAUCAAUUUUCCUAAUGCUCGGAAUUCUCAUCGGAGUCGCCAGUACACCCAUUGCUGCAUGGGCGGUGGACUCGAUAGGAAGUAGAAAGAACAUGACUGUAUAAUA